AUGCUGCGACGGGACGUCGAGGCAGGCAGUGAAACCGUAGCGGUGCCACCGAGGAAGACGCGGCAGCGCUCGGCCGGCUCGGUCGCGGGCCACUGGCUGCGCCACGCCGAGGCGGCGGCGCCGGCGUGCAUCAGGCGUCCGAUGAAAGGGCUCGACCGCAGGCCCAGGCGGUGGGGAUGCGCGGCCAACGCCGUGCUCCUGGCCUUCAUCAUCACCGUGCCGUCAAUGGUCGUCUUCUUCGGCGCGCGCACCAGCGCGCCGGCGGUGUGGAUCAACGCCGCCAACGCCUUACGCCUAGGAUCAGCACCAGCGCGUGACAGGCUUCUCGGCGGCCUCCUGGCCGACGGCGUCGACGAGAGAUCUUGCCACAGCAGGCACCAAUCGGCCAUGUACCGCCGGAGAGCCGGCAGGCAGCCCUCCCCGUACCUCGUCUCCAAGCUGCGGCAGCACGAGGCCCUGCAAAGACGCUGCGGCCCGGGCACCGCGGCCUACAGCCACGCCCAGGAGCAGCUCAGGUCGGGGAAGAGCCACGCCAGCGUCGGGUCACCGGAGUGCAAGUACCUGGUCUCCAUAUCGUACCGUGGCCUCGGCAACCGGAUCCUGGCCACGGCGUCGGCGUUCCUCUAUGCGGUGCUCACCGACCGCGUCCUCCUCGUCGACCCCAGCAACGAGAUGGGCGAGCUGUUCUGCGAGCCAUUCCCCGGCACGACGUGGUUGCUGCCGCCGGACUUCCCGCUGACGAGCUACACCAACUUCAGCAUCCAGACGGCCGAGAGCCACGCGAACAUGGUGAAGAACAAGGUGAUCAGCACCGUCGACGUCGCGCAGGGGCUACCGGCGUUCGCGUACAUUCACCUCGACCACGACGCCACUGGGGAAGACAAGCAAUUCUACUGCGACGAGGACCAGAGGGUUCUCCGGGACAUCCAGUGGUUGGUGAUGAGGACGGACAGCUACAUCGUGCCGGGGCUGUUCCUGGUCAUGGCCUUCCAGGAGGAGCUCGACAUGCUCUUCCCGGAGCCGGACACCGUGUUCCACCACCUCGGCCGCUACCUGUUCCACCCCAGCAACCACGUCUGGGGCCUCGUCACGCGCUACCACGACGCCUACCUCGCGGCGGCGCACCAGCGGGUCGGCAUCCAGGUGCGCGUCUUCGGCAGUGCCCCGAACUCGCCGGAGCUCCUGGAGCAGAUCACCACGUGCGCGCAGAAGGAGGGUCUGCUUCCGGAGCUGCUCACCGCGGGAGCGCCCGCCGCCACCACGUCGCCGCCUUUCCGGAGGAGGUCCAAGGCCGUCCUCGUGACCUCCCUGAAGGCCUGGUACUACGACAAGCUCAAGAGCAUGUACUGGGAGCAUGCGACCGUGACCGGCGAGGCGGUGGGCGUGCACCAGCCAAGCCACGAGGAGUACCAGCACUUCGGCGCCAGGUCGCACGACACCAAGGCGUGGGCGGAGAUAUAUCUGCUGAGCCUCACCGACGUGCUGGUCACCAGCGGCGGGUCGACGUUCGGGUACGUGGCGCAGGGCCUCAGCGGCCUCACGCCGUGGGUGAUGUUCAAGCCGGACAACGGCUCUGUGGUGCCCAACCCGCCCUGCGGCCGGGACGUGUCCAUGGAGCCGUGCUUCCACGCGCCGCCGUUCUACGACUGCAGGAUCAAGCAGGGGGCGGACACCGGCAAGAUCGUGCCGCAGGUGCAGCAUUGCAUAGACGUGGCCUGGGGCUUAAAGGUUGUUCCUCCUAAUACAUAA
rnacentral:rRNA from 1 species